ACCACUGCAUUGAUAGAGAAGGGUGAUAACUUUAUCUUCACUAUGAAGAAAGCACCUACUGCCGUGAAGGCAAGUUGAGCAGCAAGAAGAAGUGAAGAGGUUGAUACAGGGAGUUUUGACCCAACUUCACUAUGAAAAAAGCACCUAUUGCCGUGAAGGCAAGUUGAGCAGCAAGAAGAAGUGAAGAGGUUGAUACGGGGAGUUUUGACCCGCCCCACGAAUAGAGAAAAUCAUCAAGACCAGUGGCAAUGCCAAUGAGAAAUGCUGCAAUAAAAAUUCGGGGUGUCA
rnacentral:lncRNA from 1 species